CCUUGACCACCCACCACCAAGCCUGUGGACACAUCCGCCUCCGCACCCACCCCACCUCGUCUCAAAGAGCCCGUUCUUUGGUCCCCUCUCUGCUCCAUCUGUCAUUUUUUUCUGAGCCACCUCCUUGGCAUCAGCACCCGAGGAGAACACAGGUGGUUCCUGUAUUUAAAAAUCAAACCAACUUCCUCCCCCUUUCCCCGUGUCCCCUUCCCCAACCACCUCGCUCCUACGCUCAUUAUCUUCGUUCCCCACCGCAGUCCGCCUACUACCACCAGUCCGCUACAGUGUUCUCACCAGGGACCUCAUUGCUGUUAAGCCCAGUGGAGUCCUCACCUUGCUGGACAGCAUCUGACCCUGCCCAGCAGUCCUCGACUUCUGGAAACAUCACCUUGAUUUCGAUGACGACCAAGUCCUCUGAUUUUCUCCGACUUCUCUGUCGGACAUCCUGUACAUCCUGUCAGUCUUUUUCAAGUCACCCAUUCCCUACGUGUUGGAGUCUUCGGGGGGCGCUAAGCUAUCUUCUCCGGUCACCGUACACACUCUCGCUAGAUACCUCUCACCUUGGGAAGCCUGGUGUAAUCUUCUCAGACGACUUCUACACACUCCAUCAUCUCUACGGCCUCCAUGCAGCCACCACGCUGGGUCCCUGUCCCAGGAACAGAGGGCCUUUCCAGAAGAAGCGAAGGUUCUCCUCAUGUACCGCUUUUGCAGGAAGAAAUAGAGAAGCCAGAUAUCUUAAUGCCUGACCAGGGGCCAGCCGUGGUCCCCCCGCUCCCCAUCUGCUAGAAAGUUUCCACACCCACUGGGAGUCCAGCCUGCUGGGAACCAGGGUGGACCUUUGAGUUUUUCUGUGGACUAGAAGACCUGAGUUUCCACUGAAUUCGAUUAUUAAAUUAGCUGUGCAAUCCAGGGCACAUCACUCUCCUUCUCUGACCCUCACUUCCUCUCUGUAAUUAAGGAAUUUGGACUAAAUGAUCUCUUAAGUUCUUUUUAGCUCCACAGUUCUAUUCUCGCUUUCUAAGUUGCCAUUUAUAGAUGUGGAAAGGUAGGGGCACCUGGGUGGCUCAGACGGUGAAGUGUCGGACUUCAGCUCAGGUCAUGAUCUCACGGCU